AAAUUAAAUUGGAAUUCAUAAUUAAGAAUAAUGAAACGAAUAUAAAAUAGUGAAAAUGGUUGGGCAUAUGUCAGAUAGCUAACCGUCUCAGUAAGAAGCAGCAACCCUCCAAGUGCGUGGAAUAAGUUGACGAGAUGAGUACAAGAUAGUAUAGUAUAGUUAGGCACAACCAUUCAAAGAAGGCUCUGCCAAGAUAGACACAAGGCUUGCUUCACACAUAUUGAUAUGAUGGAUGAUGAUAUCUAGUGCCAAUCGUUGGGAUGACCUUCAACUUUUAUUUCUCUCUCUCAUUAUUAACAAAUCAAAGCAUCGGCUCAAACUUGCUGACCGGUUAGAACCCACUCCAACAAACCAAAACUCACAAACCAUCAAGAGAGGUUCGUCUAGUCCACCCGAAUGAACUAUCAAUCUUUUCUAUCGAGGGUUGAGAUAAGGUACACGAGGCACCUAAUCACCGAACCCCAAGAAUGUCAGCUAAGGUUCUUAUCAAGGCACAACUGAGCCUCCCCAAUCCCAACUGCUCAUCCGCCUAUGCUCAUUUAUAGACAUUGCCACCGUAAGACCCCGAACGACGAUAUAAUCUCUAACAAUCCAAGCCAUUCUGGUGUGCUAUAUGGAGACAUAGAUCAUAUGCUCACUCCAUUUCAACCCAAAUUAUUACUCCACCUGAACCUUCGGAAUCAAACAUUGAUCCAAAUUAUAAUAUGUAAGUAAAAUGGGGUAAAAGGAUAAAGCUGAAAUCAAUAACAAAGACACUGGGAAUUAACGAAGUUCAUGGACCAACUAAUCUUUAGGGACAAAGCCAGUGACUAAUUUUAUUAUUACGUGAGGGAGAAGAAGGGUAGAAAAGUAGAUGAUUACAAUUAGGGUUAAUCAGUGAGUAUUUUUUCUUCUCUUAAAGGUUAAUCAGUGCUCUUAAUUCUAACCCCCACGAUUUGACUACCCACUUACCCCCCUUCUAAGUUUUACUGGAUUUACGCAACAAAUAUUAUUUACUUACUCACAUUUUUCCUCUUCCAUAAUUUGAGUCCCGUCCGUCCCCUGAACAGUGAAAAACUAAAGUGUCAGACCAUUCCCCUUUUCCCUGUGGAACAAGAAACACAGUAACCAUAAACAGUAGAAGUGGAUCAUCGAAGAGACGCACUGUGGUGGGGAGAAAUCCCAGAAUUUCAGGCUUGGAGGGGCAGUCAGUCACAGUCAGAGACAACGUACAACAAUUAAGGAAGUGGACAGAGGGACCUGCAACCAAACAGUACAUCAUUUCAGGUAUGGGGAAUUUGAGGGAGAGGGAGUGCUCUCUAUUAUAAACAAUCCUGACAUCAUAGGGUGUAAGCUAGCUGCCAGGGGAGGAGUACCUUAAUUUCUGGGAUUCUGUGUUGUGAAGAAUAAUUGCUGGAAUAUACUCGGACAUGGAUCUGUGAUCAUUUGUAACUCUCAGUCAGAUUAAACCAAAUGUAAUCAAGUAUUUGGACCUCUAUAAGUAUAAAUGUGGCUCACAUACCAUUUGGCACUAGAAAUUUGGGUUGGUAGUUGUUUGGACUGACCCCCAAACCCAAUAAAGGACCCCCAGACCUACCUGAAACCCUAAUCAAGGGCCGUGAAUAUAAUACUUGGGGGAGGUAAAGGAGAGGGAAGCUACUGUAGUGAUUCUGUCUAGUUAGAGAUUUUGUCCCCUAAAUAAUAAUAAGACUAAAACAAUUCGAAAUUGAAACAGUGAGAUGAAGAGGCAAAAGAUGGGAGGGGAUGGGGUUAAACAGUAGAGGAGACUGUUGAGAGUUCCAUGAAAAUGGAAAUUGAAAAGAAGAAGGAAAGAAGAAGAUAUCAUCAGAUCAGAUCAGAUGAUGGAGAUGGGGACACAAAUCCCCCCACCCCCACUCUUCCUUUUUCCUCCAAAACUUCGGAAACAUCAAAUCCAUCCAUCCAAAUGCCAUUCCCACUCCACCUCCCCCCUCACACCUCAGUCAGUACUGCUGCUGUCAAUUGAGUGAUCAUGCCUCUACUAUACUUGCUUUCUCCUACUACUCCUUCAUUAUUGCUCUGCUACAACAUUGUCUGCGUUGAAGAAAAAAGCAUAUGAAGUUCGUAGCACAUUAAUGCCAGUUCAUGGUAGCAGCAGAGGUGAUCCUAAAGCAGCUUAAAGGGCGUGACUAGAACAUGUUUUAUACGAGUUCACGCAAAUUAAGGGCAAUACUAUUUCCAACAUGAACAUUUAUUCAAGAUUUUAAUUUCCUAUGCCCCUUACUGGACAACAGUCUUCAUUUAUUGGACUACUUGGCUUGUGGGUGAAGGAAAAAGGAAAAGAAAAGAACUAUAGAAGAGAAGCUAUUUCACAUAACAGGAUAAACAAAAACUGGGUAAACUAAGAUACGCAUGGCCAACGCUUCUACUCCUGAACUAGGCCUCUCUUCUUGUAAUAAUACCCCCUCCCCCCUACUCUGUCUGCUCUGGCUACAGUUACAAAAGGACACCAGACAAAGGUAAAAAAGCGAAGGUAAAAAAGACAGGAAAUGAUGACACUUUUACCCGCUAGCUCAUUCCCAACAAGCACUCCUACAUUAAUUCUGGUGAGUUGGAUUGAUCUAACAUGUACCACUAAACUUAACAAGACAUGGCUAGUAAACAUUCUGUUGAAAGAAACCAUUCGUGGGAAGUGCAGAGAAAAAGUUGUUCUACCUAGCUAGUAGUAGUGGUACAAAAACACUUACUUGUCUCAGUGGGUAAUUUUUUCAACUUUGUUUCCACUCUGCAAGAAUGAGCGUGUGCCUGCACAGGAUUCCACUUUAUCUGCACUGCACAUUCUUCUUCCCACGAAAUUCCCCAUUGUCGAAUGGCUCAAACAGCGAUUAUACGGUCCUGAAACUCAAGACACGUCUGAUAGAGCUAUCUCAACAGAUGAGGAUUUCGGUAGAGUAAUCACCCAUAGACAAUAUUUUACUAAUGAUAAUAUCAUAAACAAGCCAGGUUAUGUCAUGUCAGGUCAAGCAAUUCCAAUACCUAUUUAUAUGGUACUAGAAAGCUCGUUUUAUUGGCUAAGCCGUCUUCUGUUUUCCAUGUGAUUAAUGACUAACAUACAUAUUCCAUGCCAUAACACCGACGGCCAAUCAUAUACUUCUAAACUCUCAUGAAGCAGAAUCUAAGGAUGUAGAGACCUGAGACAAAUAAUCACUACUGACGAAAUAAAAAUCACUGCUGAAUUAAGGCUGAAGUUGACGUUCAGAUCGAUAGAAAAUGACAUGAUACCCCAGAAUUUCAAGAUGCUCUAUGGAACAUGAUUAAUUGAUUAUAUGAGAUUUGAAGAUAACAUCUGUUAGUUGCCUUAUAUGUAUGUAAC
rnacentral:lncRNA from 1 species